rnacentral:rRNA from 1 species
CCCGGUGAUAUUUAAACGGCCGCAGUUAAGAGCUGUGCUAAGGUAGCGUAGUAAGUUGUCCUUUAAAUGGGGAAAGGAAUGAAUGGUUUGACGUGAGAAUAUCUGUCUCUGGAAAAAUUUGAAAAAUUUUCUUCUUGGUGAAAAGCCCGAGAUGAUUAUAAAAGACGAGAAGACCCUUUCGAGCUUGAUAAAGCAGCUUAGUUUUUGGAGGCUAAAGUUUGGUUGGGGCAACUUAGGAGCAAGAAAAGACUCCUGGAAGAUAAUAGUGAUCCAAAUAUUUUGAGAAAAAGAAAAAGCUACCGUAGGGAUAACAGCGUUAUCUUCUCUGAGAGAACAAAUUGAAGGGAGG